rnacentral:SRP_RNA from 1 species
GCCGGGCGUGGUGGUGGGUGCCUGUAGUCUCAGCUACUCGGGAGGCUGAGGCAGGAGAAUUGCUUGAACCCAGGAGGCAGAGGUUGCAGUGAGUGAGAAUGCACCACUGCACUCCAGCCUGGGUGACAGAGCAAGACUCUGUCUCAA